CAGCAGCCGCGGGAAUACGUAGGGUGCGAGCGUUAAUCGGAAUUACUGGGCGUAAAGCGUGCGCAGGCGGUGAGUUAAGUCUGCUGUGAAAUCCCCGGGCUCAACCUGGGAAUGGCAGUGGAUACUGGCUCGCUAGAGUGUGUCAGAGGAUGGUGGAAUUCCCGGUGUAGCGGUGAAAUGCGUAGAGAUCGGGAGGAACAUCAGUGGCGAAGGCGGCCAUCUGGGACAACACUGACGCUGAGGCACGAAAGCGUGGGGAGCAAACAGGAUUAGAUACCCCGGUAGUCCCUGUCUCUUAUAC
rnacentral:rRNA from 1 species